rnacentral:rRNA from 1 species
AACAAACGCUGGCGGCGUGCCUAACACAUGCAAGUCGUACGAGAAAGGGUCCUUCGGGGCCUGAGUAAAGUGGCGCACGGGUGAGUAACGCGUGGAUAAUCUGCCCUUCAGUUGGGAAUAACUCAUCGAAAGGUGGGCUAAUACCGAAUAAUGCUGUGAGACCUCGGUUGAUCAGCCAAAGAGAGCCUCUGCUUGCAAGCCCUCGCUGAAGGAUGAGUCCGCGUACCAUUAGCUAGUUGGUAGGGUAAUGGCCUACCAAGGGGACGAUGGUUAGCUGGUCUGAGAGGAUGAUCAGCCAAACUGGAACUGAGACACGGUCCAGACUCCUACGGGAGGCAGCAGUGAGGAAUCUUGCGCAAUGGGGGCAACCCUGACGCAGCAACGCCGCGUGAGUGAGGAAGGUCUUCGGAUCGUAAAGCUCUGUCGGAUGGAAAGAACCGCAUAGGGGUAAACAGCCCCUGUGUCUGACGGUACCAUCAAAGGAAGCACCGGCUAACUCCGUGCCAGCCGCCGCAGUAACAC